GAUGAAGAACGUAGCGAAAUGCGAUAAGUAGUGUGAAUUGCAGAAUUCAGUGAAUCAUCGAAUCUUUGAACGCACAUUGCGCCCUUUGGUAUUCCUUAGGGCAUGCCUGUUCGAGCGUCAUUUAAACCUUCAAGCUCAGCUUGGUGUUGGGUGACUGUCCGCUUCACCGCGGACUCGCCUCAAAACAAUUGGCAGCCGGCGUAUUGAUUUCGGAGCGCAGUACAUCUCGCGCUUUGCACUCAUAACGACGACGUCCAAAAGUACAUUUUUACACUCUUGACCUCGGAUCAGGUAGGGAUACCCGCUGAACUUAAGCAUAUCAAUAAGCGGAGGA
rnacentral:misc_RNA from 1 species